rnacentral:rRNA from 1 species
AUUGAACGCUGGCGGCAUGCUUUACACAUGCAAGUCGAACGGUAACAGGUUAAGCUGACGAGUGGCGAACGGGUGAGUAAUGCAUCGGAACGUGCCCGGUCGUGGGGGAUAACGCAGCGAAAGCUGCGCUAAUACUGCAUACGAUCUGAGGAUGAAAGCGGGGGACCGUAAGGCCUCGCGCGAUCGGAGCGGCCGAUGUCAGAUUAGGUAGUUGGUGGGGUAAAGGCUCACCAAGCCGACGAUCUGUAGCUGGUCUGAGAGGACGACCAGCCACACGGGGGCUGAGACACGGCCCAGACGCCUACGGGAGGCAGCAGUGGGGAAUUUUGGACAAUGGGCGCAAGCCUGAUCCAGCAAUGCCGCGUGCAGGAAGAAGGCCUUCGGGUUGUAAACUGCUUUUGUACGGAACGAAACGGCGCAGGCCAAUACCUUGCGCUAAUGACGGUACCUGCAGAAUAAGCACCGGCUAACUACGUGCCAGCCGCCGCGGUAAGAC